rnacentral:lncRNA from 1 species
UAUCAAAUAUGCACUAGAUGAAUAUAUGUUAUACAUUGAAAUGAAUAUUAGGUGUUUAUUUCCUCAUGUGCAUAAGUGUUGUGGUUUCCAAUCUUUGGACUUGUCGAAAUUGAUUGAAAUUUCCAGGCAGCAAGCAACGACACGUUCGCUGAAAGUUGUUGAUCUGUAGUGAAGCCAAAUACCGUACUGAUGGAGUUGUGUUAAGAGGAAAUUUCUUUGGAGCAGACGAGGACAGCAGGAAAUUUGCUAGAUUUCUACCUGAUCAGCAAGAGGCGGGCGAUUUUGUAAUACUAUACUGCUUUUCGGUAAAAGUGAACCACACGAGGAGGAAUAUGAUCCGGGAAUUCAUCGCAGUGCAAGACGACAAGCGUCGUUGUAAGGAAAAAAAAGUUGGAUGAAAAGAAUAUUGAUUUCUGCGUGCUGCAAAAACAAAGCUGGCCCAUAGAUUCGCAGGGAACGGAAUGUUGGAACCCAAUGGAUUACACAAGAACCCCGUCGAUGUCGAAUUUGGACCCGGGAGUCAGGAUACUGUGGGAAAUAUUCCCGGCGUAGCACUCAUGGCGACAAUCAAGCGAAGAGCGUCCGGUAUCCAAUCCGCAGUUUAUCUGCACAUUUUCGUUGCAGUUCUAAAUGAAUGACAAAAGUAAGCAGUUGGCGAAAAACUCAUCCCUUACCCCUUUUUUUAAAUACAAUUUUCUCUAAAUAUGAA